rnacentral:misc_RNA from 1 species
UACGGAGAGUGCAAACGUUGUUCGGAUUCACUGGGCGUAAAGGGCACGUAGGCGGCUCGGCAAAUCGGUCGUGGAAUCCCGUCGCUUACCGGCGGAACGGCGGCCGAAAAUACCGGGCUUGAGGGCGUGAGGGGUCACUGGAACUCCUGGUGAAGCGGUGAAAUGCGUAGAUAUCAGGAGGAACGCCGGAGGCGAAAGCGGGUGACUGGCGCGUUCCUGACGCUGAGGUGCGAAAGCUGGGGGAGCAAACAGG